CCACAAGGAUGUCUGCACAGCAGUG
rnacentral:misc_RNA from 1 species